AAUAACACAUUCAAAUAAUUGACACUUCUAUUCCUUCAUUAUAGAAGACAUCACAAUAAGAUGCGACCAUUGUAUCAGGUACAAACUAUUUCACGGCUUCUAAAACAUCUGGACAGUCUGAGAGAUGUUAUAAAUCCGAUAUUAAUCUCGUUAAAUCAAAUAAUAUCAGAUUGGAAUUCUGGCUAAACGAUGAUAACAGCAAAACGUUUUCAGAAAUUAUGCUACAACUGGAGGACACAAUAAGUUUUACAUUAGAAUAUGUGUCGGCGUUGUUAGGUAGCCUACUGGGUAGAACGUUACAAAUUUCUUCAUGCUUUUAUUUUUAACUAUGCUUUAUUAAAGCCAAUGCUACUUCCAAAACUUAUGAUUGUUAUGCUUUGUUUCAGUGAGGGUAUUUGGUGUAUUAGCAAUGUAGACAUUUUUAUGUCGAUUUUCGACAUUGGUACCCGAAUUUCGUUUGUUUUAUUCUUUGUUUUUAAUAUGUUAAUACCUUUAAUAUACUACA